rnacentral:lncRNA from 1 species
GCAGGCGUGAUCUGCUCCCUACUGGUUUUCAAACGCCAGUCUGUUCCCGCCAGUUUUUUUCUUGUAUUUUGGGUUGGGUUGGGUAGGUUUCACUAGAAACUGCGGUAUGUUUCAGAUCCUGUGGCUUAGAAGCAGCAACAGACAGAACGGAAGCUGGUAUGAUUGACAGCUACUUGCAGCUGACUUUGGAUCAGCAGAGGACCAGCAGAGGGAGCACGUCUCUCCAGCGAUGGUCUGAGUCUAGGCCAGGCGGUAGGAAAAUUCACUCGGAUUGAGGAAUAGUAAUCUUAAAAUGAAUGGGCUUUCUGAUCACAAAAUAUCAAAUGACAAACUUAUCUAACGUGCAAAGAAAUGAGUAAGAAAAUUAAAAACCAACACAAACCUAAC